UAAUAAUGGUCAUCAAUCUCAGGAUUAUUAUCAACAACUUUUGUAACAUAAUCUGGACAUAAACAGAAAAUCAUCCUGCAGUUUUUGAUGGAAUGAAUAGACGCGAGAAUAAGCUACUCGACAUUUCACUCAGAAUAACACAGACACAAGGAAGUCCAGAAACUAAAACUUUGAUAUUUCAUUAGUAGCAUUUUUUUUUGACAUUAGUAGCUUAUGUUGAGUGUGACUUAUUAUCCUGUGUAUUUAUUCCAAGUUUACUGCAAUAAUUUCAUUAAACCUUUAGUAGUCAUUUACUAAUUAUUAAGGAUAUUUACUUAAAACUCCUCAACUAAGUUUGUUUAGGGUAAAAAAACCCUCAAAC
rnacentral:lncRNA from 1 species